UACAGAGGUCCCAAGCGUUGUUCGGAUUCACUGGGCGUAAAGGGUGCGUAGGUGGUUGGGUAAGUCUGAUGUGAAAUCUCCGGGCUCAACCCGGAAAUGGCAUUGGAUACUAUCUAGCUCGAGGAUCGGAGGGGGGACUGGAAUUCUUGGUGUAGCAGUGAAAUGCGUAGAUAUCAAGAGGAACACCAGUGGCGAAGGCGAGUCCCUGGACGAUUCCUGACACUGAGGCACGAAAGCUAGGGGAGCAAACAGG
rnacentral:rRNA from 1 species